GCUCGUAGUUGGAUUUCGGGUGUAAACUGCCGGUCCGUCUUUGAUGUGUACUGGUUGGUUGCGCCUUAUUGUCGAGGACGUGGUUCUGGCUUUCAUUAGCUGGGACACGGAGUCGGCAGCGUUACUUUGAGAAAAUUAGAGUGUUCAAAGCAGGCUAUCGCUCUGAAUACUACAGCAUGGAAUAACACGAUAGGACUCCGAGCCUAUUCUGUUGGUCUUCGGGACCGGAGUAAUGAUUAAGAGGGACAGUUGGGGGCAUUCGUAUUCCGAUGUCAGAGGUGAAAUUCUUGGAUUAUCGGAAGACGAACAUCUGCGAAAGCAUUUGCCAAGGAUGUUUUCAUUAAUCAAGAACGAAAGUUGGGGGCUCGAAGAAGAUCAGAUACCUUCCUAGUCUCAACCAUAAACGAUGCCGACUAGGGAUUGGCGGAUGUUUUUUUUAUGACUCCGUCAGCACCUUACGAGAAAUCAAAGUCUUUGGGUUCCGGGGGGAGUAUGGUCGCAAGGCUGAAACUUAAAGGAAUUGACGGAAGGGCACCACCAGGCGAACCACGAGUAAUACUAAUAAAGUAUUUUAUGCAUGCCGCAUACUCUUAUGCCUGAAAACCGGUAGCUUCGCUUGCUCGCGCCUUAUGCCCGGCGCCUCCUUCAAGGGAAGGUAGAAAGGCAGCGAAGACCCUGUUCUAUCGGUUAGUCCGCGCCACCAAUUUUCGCAUCGGGUGGUUUUGCGGGCGAGACGCUGAAAAUUGCGGGAACAUCUCGUCAGGUCAACAGUACCAAGC
rnacentral:rRNA from 1 species